UACGUAGGGCGCAAGCGUUGUCCGGAAUCAUUGGGCGUAAAGAGCUCGUAGGCGGCCUGUUGCGUCCGCUGUGAAAUCCCGGGGCUUAACCCCGGGCGUGCAGUGGAUACGGGCUGGCUGGAGGCAGGCAGGGGAGAACGGAAUUCCCGGUGUAGCGGUGAAAUGCGCAGAUAUCGGGAGGAACACCGGUGGCGAAGGCGGUUCUCUGGGCCUGUACUGACGCUGAGGAGCGAAAGCGUGGGGAGCGAACAGGG
rnacentral:rRNA from 1 species